rnacentral:lncRNA from 1 species
AGGGUCUGCGAACGCUGACAGAUCUACCUUGGGUUUCCGAAUAGACUAAAGGCAGCAACCCAACUCUGAUCAACGCGGUCCAGUAUCGGAAUAUGCACAGAAAAUGCAGAGUGCAGUAUCAGUACAACCGACCCUAUGUACUGGUAAGUGCCGAGCCUAACGUCGGCGAAAUAGUGAUGAGGCUAGGACACGACAAUAACAUGAACCUGUGCAGUUAUAUCAUAUACGAGAAAACAACAACAAUUGGAAAUUUAAGCAGAUAAUAACGGGAAGGGGAGAAACAUACUGAGGGAAAUAUCAAAUCUUGUAAUAGUACAGUAAUGAAACGUAGUAAAUAACGUUCUUUGCACCAACAAAAGUAAUAAUAUAGCAAACAAGAGCACGACAUCACCCUUCGUGCUUUUACUCUCGUCCUUACCAUGAGAAAUAAUAGAAACGACACGACAUCACCCUUCGUGCAUUAACUCUCUCAUAACAUAGCACGAUAUCACCCUUCGUGCAUUAUCUAUAUAAGAAUAUUGCACGACAUCACCCUUCGUGCAUUAUCACUCACAGCAUACGACACAUCAUCACCCUUUGUGCAUUAUCACUCACUCACAAUACAUUGCACGAUAUCACCUUUCGUGCUUUAACACUCUCCCUCACCAAAUAAUGAACAACAACAACAGGGAGAUAGAAAUAUCAAGAACCUGUCUUACUUCAACAUUCAAUUCUACAAUACUAGUCUCAACUCUGAGCUAAUACUCAAUCAGUACCAAACUUCGUAAAACAUGAUAAUAGUUACUCAACACAUGGAAUAACAAGUCUAAACAUGAAAUAUAUGAUCAAAGAAUACAAUAGUUACACGAAUAAGACUAACUCGCAUGCUAUGACUCGACAACAAUGUAUAGAUACUCAUCACCUCACCUAUACAUCGUACUCAACAACCAAACACAUAACAAAUAAGGCAACAAUACCUAAUCCCUCAAGCUAAGGUUAGCCACAACACUUACCUCAAUUCCACGGCCAAAGUCAAGCCUCAAUUAUUGCUUUUCCUCUAGAUUCCACCUCCAAUCCACUCGUAUUUAACCACAAUUAACUUAAUAAUAUCAAUUAUUGCUAAAGAAAUCAAUUCCAAUUCACAAUUACAAGUUUCCCAACAUUUUCCCCAAAAAAGUCAAAAACUGACCCCGACCCACUUGGUCAAUACUUGAGGUUCGGACCAGAAACUAUUCACCCCCGAGCCCAAAUAUGUAAUUAGUUUCGGAAUCCGACCCCAAAUCGAGGUCAAAAUUCCAAUUAUACAAAAAUACCUAGUUCUACCGAAACCCCCAAUUUCCACCGUGGAAACUCUAGAUUUUAGGUUAAAAAUUGUUGAAAUGCAAUUGUUAAUUGAAAGAAAGUAGUUUAGAAUCAUUUAACUAACACAUUGGGGAAGAAUUUGUCUGUUCAAAAUCUCCUCUAUGCCUUCUAGUUUUUGAAAAAAAGAAAGAAUGGCCUAUUUUCGUCUUUGAUUCUGUUUUUAAAACACUGGACAGGUCUUCAUCGCGUUCGCGAUGCAUUGCGGCCAGAAGGGACUUCCCGUUCGCGAAGAGCUGCUCGCGUUCGCGAUGGUCUGUAUCCCCUGACCAUCACGUUCGUGAGCCUGGGACCAUGUUCGCGAAGAGCAACUCAAUGAUUCCCCAGCCUACCUCCAUUUUACUCUACGCGUUCACGUGAUGCUAGCCGCGUUCGCGAAGAGCAGCUCCCCAGUGCUCCGCGUUCGCGACCAUGGCUUCGCGUUUGUGAUGAAAAAUCCCCUCCCCAGCCCAGGUUACACUUCACGUUCGUGAGAGUAUCUUCGUGAAUGCGAAGAAGGAAAACUAGAAACACUGACUGCAACAAAACACACCAGAUUUCUAAGUGUAAAUCACCCCGUAGCCUAUCCGAAACUCACCCGAGCCCUCGGAACUCCAAACCAAACAUGCACAAAAGUCUUAAAUCAUUAUACGAACUUUCUCGGCAAUCAAAUCGCCAAAAUAACACCUAGAACUACGAAUUUAGCAUCAAAUUGCGUGAAAAUUUCAAGAAAGUUCAAAAGUUCUAUCUUCUGAACCAAAGGUCUGAAUCACGUCAAAUCAGUCUCGUUCCUCACCAAAUUUCACAGAAAAGGUAUAAAUAUCAUCACAGACCUGUACUAGGCACCGAAACCACAAUACAGACUCGAUACCAACGAGAUCCACUAUUAACCAUUUUCUCAAAACCAUUAUAAUUUUAGUUUAACAAUUUUCAUCAAAUAUUCAUUUCUUGAGCUAGGGUCCUCAGAAUUCGAUUCCGGAUGUACGCCUAGGUCCCAUAUUUUACUACGGACCCUUCGAGACCGUCAAAAUAGGGCCCGGGUCCGUUUACUCAAGAAGUUGACCAAUUCAACUAAAAUCAACUUUUAAAGGCAAAACUUAAUAUUUUCUCAAAUUUUCACAUAAAGGCUUUUUCGAAAACACGCUCGGGCUGCGCACAUAAAUUGAGGAGAAGUAUGAUGACGUUUUGAAGGCCUCGGAACCCUGGUCAUCAUAUUAUCCACUUCUAAAAUAACAUUCGUCCUCGAACGGACAUAGAAAAGUACUUGAGCUAGUGAAAAGAUGGGGACGUUUGCUCCGCAUAUCGGAGUCGGACUCCCAGGUAGCUGCCUCAACAGGCUAGCCUCUCUACUGUACACGAACCGAAGGAUAACUCUUCGACCUCAACUGAUGAACCUGUCGUUCUAAAAUAGCUACCGGCUCCUCCUCGUGGGUUCAAUCCCUGUCAAGCUGGACAUUGCUAAAAUCUAACACGUGGGAUGGAUCGCUGUGAUACUUUCGGAGCAUGGACACAUGAAAUACUAGAUGUACUGUUGACAAACCUGGUGGCAACGCAAGUCUGUAGGACACCUCUCCCACUCGAUCAAGGAUAUCAAAAGGCUCGAUGAACCUAAGGCUUAACUUUACCUUAUUCCCAAACCGCAUCAUACCUUUCAUGGGUGACACCCGAAGCAACACUCUCUCUCCGACGAUGAAUGCCACAUCACGAACGUUACAGUCAGCAUAACUCUUUUGCCUGGACUGAGCUGUACGAAGUCUAUCCUGAAUGAUCUUAACCGUAUCCAAGGCAUCCUAUACUAAAUCUAUACCCAAUAACCGAGCCUCUCCCGACUCAAACCAUCCAACCAAUGAUCGACACCGUAUACCAUACAACGCCUCAUAGGGAGCCAUCUGGAUGCUCGACUGAUAAUUGUUGUUGUAGGCAAACUCCGCUAACGACAAGAAUUGAUCCCAAGAACCUCCAAAGUUAAUGACACAGGCGCAGAGCAUAUCCUCCAAAAUCUGAAUAGUACGCUCGGAUUGUCCUUACAUAUGAGGAUGAAAUUUUGUGCUCAAUUUGACCCGCAUACCCAACUCACGCUGCACUGCACUCCAGAAAUGCGAAGUAAAUUGCGUACCUCAAUCAAAAAUAAUAGACACGGGAACACUAGGGAGACGAACGAUCUCACAGAUAUAAAUCUCUGCCAACCGCUCAGAAGAAUAGGAAACUGCCACAAGAAUGAAAUACACUGACUUGGUCAGUCUAUCCACAAUAACCCAUACUGCAUCCAACUUCUUCUGAGUGCUUGGGAGUCCAACAACGAAGUCCAUGGUGAUACGCUCCCACUUCUACUCAGGAAUCUUUAUCUUAUGAAGUAAACCACCAGGUCUCUGAUACUUGUACUUUGCUUGCUGACAAUUAAAACACCGAGCUACAUAUGCAACAAUAUCCUUCUUCAUCCUCCUCUACCAAUAAUGCUGUCGUGCGUCUUGAUACAUCUUAGCGGCACCCGGAUAAAUAAAAUACCGGGAGCUGUGAGCCUCCUCCAGAAUCAACUCAUAAAGUCUAUCCACAUUAGGCACACAAACACGACCCUGCAUCCUCAAAACUCCAUCAUCUCCAACUGUAACCUGCUUGGCAUCACCGAGCCAUACUGUGUCCCUAAGGACAAGCAAAUGAGGAUCAUCAUACUACCGCUCCCUGAUACGCUCAAAUAAGGAAGACCGAGUGACGGUACAGGCUAGAACACAACUGGACUCAGAAACAUCCAAGCUCACAAACUGAUUGGCCAAAGCUUGAACUUUUAAAACAAGCGUCUCUCACCGACUGGAAUAUAUGCAAGGAUGUCCAUACUAGCUGACUUCCUACUCAAAGCAUCGACCACUACAUUGGCCUUCCCGAUAUGAUACAAGAUGAUGAUAUCAUAGUCUUUCAAUAGCUCCAACCACCUUCUCUGCCUCAAAUUGAGCUCCUUCUACUAGAACAAAUACUGAAAGCUCUUGCGAUUCGUAAACACCUCACACGACAUGCCAUAAAGAUAGUGCCUGCAAAUCUUUAGCGCGUGAACAAUGGCUGUUAGCUCCAAGCCAUGAACUGGAUAAUUCUUCUCGUGAAUAUUCAAUUGUCGCGAAGCAUAUGCAAUAACCUUGCCACCAUGCAUCAAUACCGCACCAAGUCUAAUACGAGAUGCAUCACAAUAUACUGUAUAUAGCCCUAAACCUGUGUACAACACCAACACCGGCGCCGUAGUCAAAGCUGACUUGAGCUUCUGAAAGCUCGCCUCACACUCGUCCGACCACCUGAAUGAGGCACCCUUCUAGGUCAACCUGGUCAUAAGGAUUGCUAUAGAUGAAAACCCCUACACAAACCGACGGUAAUACCCCGCCAAACCCAAGAAACUGCAGAUCUCUAUAGCUGAUGUAGAUCUAGGCCAGUCCUUGGCUAAUUCAAUCUUCUUGGGAUCCACCUGAUUACCCUCUACUGAUACAACGUGACCUAAGAAUGCAACUGAACUCAACCAAAACUCAUAUUUUGAAAACUUAGCAUAUAAACUGGCUGUCUCUCAGAGUCUGAAGAACGAUCCGAAGAUGUUGCUCAUGCUCCUCCCGACCACGGGAGUAUAUCAAGAUAUCAUCAGUAAAAAAAAUCAUGAAGAAAUCCAGAUAAGGCUUGAAUACCUGGUUCAUAAAAUCCAUAAAUGCUGCUGGGGCAUUUGUCAACCCAAACGACAUCACUAGAAACUCAUAAUGCCUAUACCGAGUGCGAAAAGUUGUCUUAGGGACAUCGGAUGCCCUAAUCCUCAACUGAUGGUAGCCAGACCUCAAAUCGAUCUUUGAAAACACCUUGGCACCCUGAAGCUGAUAAAAAAAUCAUCAAUCCUCGGCAAUGGAUACUUGUUCUUGAUGGUGACUUUGUUUAACUGCCGAUAAUCUAUGCACAUCCUCAUCGAUCCAUCCUUUUCCUUUAUAAACAACACUAGCGCACCCCAAGGCGAGACACUUGGGGUUGGAGUACUUCAACUGUCUGAAUUUUCAAUAUUCUCAACAUUUUCUUUUCGGAUACCACUUAUAUCAUCCAUCUUAGAUUUUCCUUUGCUUUUCAGAUUACUUGAGGAGGAGGAGGAGGACCUCUAGAUCUGGUGUAAUAUGCUGACGAUGCCAGUAUGUGAGAACCAAUCUUAGGGGAUGAGAAUAAUCAAAAUAAAGAAAAACAAAAGGUAGACAAGUCAUUAAGGAUUCUGAAAAGCAUUUGCAAUAUUUAAACACGUAUUGCGGGAUGUAAAUUCGUGUCCUAAUUUGGGAAGCCUCAUUGUGACCGAGGUAGGCCUAGUGACAAGUAGAUUUGGAGAGAUUUAAUGCUGAUAAAUGCCUCUAUUCAUUAAUUUAAUAAAUAAGCCAAACGACGAAAAUAAAUGAGUUAUUAAUGGCAUUUGCCUUAUUACAUUCGAAUUCCAAUAGAUAAACUUAAUCUACUUGGUCUCGGAGGGACCUUACCAUAUUUGGCUUUCUUGGCUCCAUCAGUCAGAUUCCCCAGGUCGUGCAUGUCCAGCAGGAGGUAUGCCCUUGCUAGGUGUCCUCCCUCAUUGCCUUAUGCAUUUUGAUAGUCUACAACCCUUUUCCUCAUCUUCCUUUCUAGUUCCAUUAGACCUUGCUCCAAAUACUCCAGUCUUUUUGUCGAUUUUGUAGCCAUUUCCUUCCACUCGUUAAUUGAUUCCAUGUCGGACUUGUGUUUCUCCAGAUGCUUGGCUUCGGAUUCAAGGACCCUCUUGCGUAACCUCUCAUACUUCACUUGUGCUUCAGCAACUUUGUCUCUGAUCCUGUUUUCUUAACCAACCCUUGGCUCAAAUAUUCCUGUAACGUUAUCUUCUAACCAUAAUGGGUAGAAGUACACAUGACCGGCGUGAUAUCGAUCUGGCUCGAUGGUAUCCUUUUCCACGAUAAUCUUUAAGUGCCACAUGUGCUAGGCCUCAUAUUUGUAUGAAAUGGUGUCACCCUGAAAAUCGGCUCUGUAAUGGCUCAUUUUGGAGACUCGUGGUAUGACUUGUUUUCUACCAGCUUGCCUCAUGACUCUGGUAGGAAUGUAGGGAUGUAUUCCCCUUAACCCAAUCAGCAACAAGUGCGGAACAUCCAUGGAUCUGAUGAUGAAUUCACCGGUUGGGAACCACUUGAACAUCCAGUAAACCUGGACCUCGGUCAAAUUGCUGAAAAACUGUGCCCAUUCUGUAGCAUUCUUUGGCUGUGCAAAUCUAUCUGGAAUAAAUGUCAUUCUUUUAGGAUGGUGGAAAGCGAUGUGAUCGUUCCAUGGUCUCCGUGGAAACUCUUGGCGGUAUUGACCCCUCUGAAGAUGUUCUAACAACUAAAUCUGUAGUAGCAAGUUACAACCCUCAAAGUGUUUGAACCCUUUCUUGCAAUGAUCCAGAGCCCGGUAUAUGUCUGCUACAACUAUCGGGACAAUAGUAUAGGUUUGUCCCUCAAUUCCUUCUAUUAAAGCUUUAGUUACCAUGGCCAACCUGGUGUGAAUUCUAUCCAGUUGGCUUGAUAACACUAUCAUACCCAGAAAGCAGACGAUGAAUACAAAAACCCUGCGAUGUGUCCAACCCAGGGAAAUGAUGGAGAAUUCAUCAUGAAAGAUACGGUAAGAUUUGUUGUGUCUUUAUCGUUCAUAGAGGAAGUCAUAGGGUAUGUAGGACUUCUUCAAGCACUCCAAGUCCUCAUUCUUUCUCAGACCCAUUAUCUUCAGAAACCCCCUAGUAUUGCGGUUUUCUGGUACUAGUAAACCUGGACUAUCCCAUGGUAAUCCAGUGAAUCCUCCGAUUUCCUCCAAGAGAGGAGUCAAUUCUGUGUCACCAAAACGGAAUACAGCUCUUUCUCCGUCCCAGAACAUAGUAGCAUCUUCGAUCAUCAUGUUGUUUGGUUGGAUGUCUACUAAGGAAGGUAAAUUUCCAAGAACCUUUUUCACAUGAUUUUUGUCGUUUGGCGAAAGAUUUUCCCACCAGUCUAACAACAGCUGUGGUAUACUUCGGACCAUGAAGAACCUGGGGACUUCGUGCCUCAUUUUCUACAAAAUAAACAGAGUUAGACCCUUGCCCCUCCUGAUUUGACUACUUACACAUUAACGAUUGGCAUGUCGGCAUUUAUCUCUCCAAAGAAUACACAUAUCGUGGUUGCGUCCAUUGGUAUUAUGGAAAUCCCGGUGGACUUUGGACAAGGCUUUUUUAGAGGGCUAUUAUGCGGAUAACAUAUUAACCCCGGCUAGGUUUGACCAUGAUGCAUGUACAGUUAUUAUCAGGGCAAGAUUUCUAUAGAAGUCUAGACUGGUAUCCUCAAGCGACAACUUGAGAGGGAAAGGCACGAAAUCAUUGACUGCAUCGUUGAUCGACUAAUUUUACUGCAAAUAAGCCUUUCCGAAUUUAAAGAGUGAUUUUAGGAAGAGCGCGAACACUCAUCAAGCGCCGCUAAGGUAUUGGUACGCACGAGUGGAAUAUGAUGUUGAGCAUGAAUUUAUGCAAAAGAAAAUAACAUGUUACGAAGUAUUUGCAUGAUGAAUAAUGAUAAAAUAUGGUAUUUAAUAAUUGUAAAGACAUUUAAGAAAAGAAAAACAAGGAGGCAAGUUAGUUUCCAUAGUAAAAGUGAUAAAGCAGGGGAGGGAGGUCAUAAAUGAAUAUGGAUACGAAAAUAAAUUCACGUAGAAUGGGAAGGGGUCUGCAAGUAUUAACGGAAUAAUAAAGACCUACUUAAAGACUAAUUCACAGACAAGUUCGUUAUGGUAAGAGCCUAAAGAUGUCCCCAGCAGAGUCGUCAUGCUGUCGCACCCCCUUUUUCUCGCGAAAUCGGGUUUCGACAUUUCUAGGAUAACUCCUUUCCGUGAGGGUAGGGAAUUGGAUUUGAAAGAAUUGCCACCUAAUGGAUUAAAGGUGCCUUAGGGAACCUAGAGAAAUUAACUCAGAUAAUCAGUCUACAUCAUUAGAGAUCGGGUAAGGGCUCGAAAUUAGCUUGAGGGGAAGUGUUAGGCACCCCUCGAGGUCCACAACAGUGAGUUUCGGCCAAACUUAAAUUAAGCGAAUUAGUCUUAAAGGGGAAGAAAAAAAUUUGGACAAAUACAAUAUUCAAUUUAUUUUAAACAAGAGUAUAGGGGGUGGUCCUAAGUUUUUUAUCCUAUAGGAUCAUUCCAUGCAAUGCUUUGCAACUCCCUCAAGUCGGGGUUUUACUCAAUAGCAUUAACGCACAGGCUAUCAUCUCCUUUACUACCCAAUUACUAUCUUUAAGUCGUUACUUAAGCGCACUAAUUGAUUCUAAAUUGUGCCCUAUACGUGCACUACCCCUCCCUUACCUAUUGCCCUGGAGGUAUUAAGACCUCUAUUUGGGAUGGUUCUAGACCAACCUAUGUUACUUAAAAAUGUGAAAUCUUGGCGACACAUAAAAACAAGGAGGACUUCAGAUAAAGAACAUGUAUGGGCUCACAUUGACCUCCACACAUAGGCAACAAAUGGCAUGCAUUGAAUCAACAAACUUUAUUAAUUUUGGAAUCCUAUAGGAAGGAUAUCUACAUGAGAAAAACAGAGCGUAAAGACAAUUUUAUUCGGGCGAGCAUUAGGGCUUAUUUGUUUGCCUACUGACUUUAUUCAACAUGGAUCUGGGCAUUUCAGGCAGUAGUGUGUCAUAGUUUUAAACCCUGAAUCAUUAGUGAGUCCUGCAGAUAUGUUGCCUAAGUGAUUUACAAGAGCGCUUGAAUUCAGAAUAGACUAACAGGAUCCUAUAGGCAUGAUUUCUACGAGUUUGUCAAUUACAGACCUAUAUGCAUGAUUUCUAAGUGUAGCACUGAUCUUAACUCAUAAAGAUAGUUUUAUUCUUUUUAGAUCCUAUAGGCAUGCUUUCUAAUUGCUGAGUUGAUUUAAACCCCUAUAGGCAUGAUUUUUAAUUGCUGGCUCGAUUUAAACUCCUAUAGGCAUGAUUUACGAUAGUUUUAAAUCCUAUAAGCAUGAUUUCUAGGUUUGAAACUGAUUUCUACUCCUAUAGGCAUGAUAUCUAUUAAUCGUGUGCAGGCAGAAGUUAAACAAAUUGCCUGGAAAGAUAAUUGACUUAAACAUACAAAGGUCCUAUAGGCACGGUCACUAAUGCACAUUUAGUUGAAAAUAUGUGUAGAUCCUAUGAACAUGAUUUCUAAUGCAAAAUCAAAUGUGAAGUCCUAUAAGCAGGGUUUCUAGCAUGCAAAUGUGCAACAAAAAAUCAAAAUGAUCAUGAAGAAUCCUAUAGGCAGGAUCUCUAAACACAGUAUAGUAUCCACAUAAUUCAAUCAGCAUAAUUAAGUCCUAUAGGCAGGAUUUCUACCCAAUUUUAACAAAAGAUAUAAGAAUAGACCCCCCAACUUUUACUAAUUAACCCCAAACUUGUUAUUACAAAGAUUAUUACAGCCCAGAAUAUCAAAUGAAUUACAUAAUGGUAACAAUAAUACUAUGGGGAGCCUUCAUAGGCCCAAAUAAAACCUGAGAACCAGGUUUUCCAAAUAGCAGCUCUGAAGCAUAGCAACGAUCCACCCAUAGCACAUUAGAACCAGGCUUAUAGUGUGUCAAAGUUCUCAAAGAGCCGCAGGGACCCCGAACAAUGCUCACACCAAAACCACAUAUUCAGUAAAUAGUUCAUAGAAGAUUAGAAAAAUCAGCCCCAAUGUGUCAGAGUUCAAAGGAGUCUCAAGGACCCUAGGCAGUGCUCACACUGGGGGUGGUGAGAACCUAAAUGACUAAGAAUAGGAGUUUGAAAAUCAGUUCAUAAAGGGUAGGGGAAAUUUUUGAAGUAGUUCAAUUUUCAGAAGAGAGAAAGUUUAGAAUACAGAGUUGCAGGCAGAACUGCUCCAAGAAACAAACAUGGUUCAGGUUCAGCAUACAUUUCAAACAUGGUGACAUCUAAUUAAGCUAGAUACUCAUUCUAGUAUUAAAACAAUCAUGACUUAAACACAAAGAUAGAAAUAGUUGAAUUAAAUAGACAAGACACAUGAAUUAAGCCACAAACGUAUUUGAUUAUAUGCUUAUAGUUCAGAACAGGUAUAAAACUGACAAACAAAUCUAACCUUAAACUAACUUAUGAGAGGAUUCCUAUUAUUCUAAAUACCUUAGUCUUAAGUUAACAAUAUUAUCAAAUUACCAGAUAAAAGACAGAAUCAUGCUAGGAAUUGAAACAGGCUAGUCACACAAAGCAUAGAGAAGGAAAUUGCAAAGGUUAGGGCAUACUAGUUGAGAAGAAAGGAAGUAAAGGUGCAGUAAAAGUUAAAUUCUAGAGCAAUUUGGCAUUGGCUUUCAGCCGGCCAAACAAUAGCCACUUAGUGCAGAAAUCAGAACAGGAGCAAGAGAGAGAGAGCUUAAGUUUUAGUAGUGAGAAUAAGAGAGUUCGAGUCUUGUGUUGUUGUCUAAAGGGAGUGAGGAAGGGGGUUUGAAUAGCAUUCAGUGAAGUAAACAAAUAAGGUAAUGAACCAGUCCUACACAAAUAAGGUAUGAGAAUAAAUUAACAUCGAUUAGAGUUGGCAUAGAUCAAUUGAGAGGCAUAAAAUCAGGCUAGCAUUAGUUAAUGGAAUCAAUCAGUAUUCAAAUAAGGUAAGGAAUAAUUCAAGAAUCAAUUAGAAGUCGAUUUUACUAAUUAGAACAUAAAAUCAAGCAAGUAAACACCAAUGCUUAAGGAAAGAACAGGUAAAUCGAAUAAAUAAACACCACUACUAAAGGAAAGACUAAUUUCAAACCCUAAUUUAGGUAAGUAAAAAUCAAUUAGCAAUUAAUCGAAAGAGUUAAAGGCAAACAAGCAGAAAUAGUAAAGUAAACAGUUAAAUAAUCGGAACCCUAAUAGAAUAGACAGAAAUACAAAGACAUAUAAUAAGUAAAAUCAGUCAAAAAUAAAUAAGGAAACCUAACAGAUACCCGGAGAUGAAAACGUUUAAAGGUUAAAAAGAUUUUUUGCAAAAUCUGUUGAAAUCAAAACUAUAGUUCUAGGGUAAACAAGACCGGUCAGGAAUAAUAAUAGAAAGAGACUGGAAAAUAUAGAGACAAAUGUAUUGAAAUUUUAAAGGAGAAAUACCAAAAUAAACAUAAAAUCGUUUCAGAUCUGGGAAGAUCUAAACAGAUUCAACCAAAAAUAGCUGGAUUCAUAAAAUAUAAAUAGAAGUUGAACCAAAUCUGGUUUGAACCAGAGAUUUGAAACCCUAAGAUAUGAAAAUAUUCGUACUCACAGGUAUUGGGAUGAAUAUGGACGAAAAUAGCCAUGAUAUGAGAGACUUUGAACUACAUCUGGUUCGAGUCUCUUUUGAUUCACUUUCCAUUUGAGACAAAUGAAUCAAGUAGCAUCAAGAUCAGGUAGCCAGUAAAGAAACAAAUCCAAAUAAGGCAGGAAAUCAAGGGAAAAUCCCAUGAAUCGAAAUGGAAAGUGUGACGACGGGCUAGGGUUUGAGAGUGAAAUAGGUAAGGAGAUGAGAGGAUCAGAAG